GAAAUAGAUAAAAAAUCUUUUGCUGUUAAGGGAAAAUCUGUGAAUAUAGUAACCCUGGCACUCACUACUCAAACAGGAUUAUGUUUAUAUGGUUUAUAUAGAUUUUUUUUGUUAUUAUUAUGUUUAUAUUCAUGUUUAUUUUGAUCAUAGUAGUAUGUGGACUACCUGUGAAGCUCUCAACGUGUGAGCAUAUUGCUUCGCGAAGAAAUUUUGUGUAUUUCUCGGGAUAGAACGAUUUUUCUCGUACUGGAGUGAAUCAGUGUAGCGACGCCGUGAAACUAUCAUCGGGAAUCUAUAUAAAUAAAAAUGAACAAUACAUGUAAAAAAAAUCACUAUCGAAAAGAUUUAAAUACGAAAUAAAACAAUAAUCAAACAAUACACGGGCAAGACGGGUUAUCACUGGCCUGAGUGUAGUGGAUUAUUCUAAAACUGAACACCAAUGUCCAAAAACUACAUUUGACUCCUCGACGACAAUUUUUUACAAUAUUCUACAACGAUUUAGCUGUUUUGAAGAUGAAGUGUUCGGAAGUAAUUCAUUCUAUAUCAACCGAUCUGGUGAAUUCUUUCUUCAAACGAAAUCCUUCGGACAUCAGGUCACAGUACUAUUUUUACCUUGACGCGCAUUGUUUCGUGGAGCUUACCAUGUUGGCACUCUCCUGGAUUAAUUUUCGAGAGCGAAACGAACAAAGCAGGUGUAUCAGCAGCCGAUGAAUGCAAUAUUCCAAUAGAAAAGGAAUAAUUAUGUUACAAGAAGAACAAUAUAGGUUUCAUUCAAAUCAUAUUUUUAUUUAUUGUAUUAGCAGAAGCCAAUAAAAGUGCACGAAUGUA